rnacentral:misc_RNA from 1 species
GAUGAAGAACGUAGCGAAAUGCGAUACGUAAUGUGAAUUGCAGAAUUCAGUGAAUCAUCGAAUUUUUGAACGCAUAUUGCGCUCUCUGGUAUUCCGGAGAGCAUGCUUGUUUGAGUAUCAGUAAACACCUCAACUUCCAUAUCUUUUUUGAAAUGGGAGUUGGACUUGAGUGAUCCCAACGCUUUUCCUCACCGAAAAGUGGCGGGUUACUUGAAAUGCAGGUGCAGCUGGACUUUUCUCUGAGCUAUAAGCAUAUCUAUUUAGUCUGCCUAAAAAACAGAUUAUUACCUUUGCUGCAGCUAACAUAAAGGAGAUUAGUUCUUGUGCUGACUGAUGCAGGAUUCACAAAGACAGGCUUCGGCCGACUUUGUAAACUCGAUCUCAAAUCAAGUAAGACUACCCGCUGAACUUAAGCAUAUCAAUAAGCGGAGGA